rnacentral:rRNA from 1 species
UACAGAGGUCUCAAGCGUUGUUCGGAUUCAUUGGGCGUAAAGGGUGCGUAGGCGGCGCGGUAAGUCGGGUGUGAAAUCUCGGAGCUUAACUCCGAAACUGCAUUCGAUACUGCCGUGCUUGAGGACUGGAGAGGAGACUGGAAUUUACGGUGUAGCAGUGAAAUGCGUAGAGAUCGUAAGGAAGACCAGUGGCGAAGGCGGGUCUCUGGACAGUUCCUGACACUGAGGCACGAAGGCCAGGGGAGCAAACGGG